ensembl:lncRNA
AUUGGAAAAGACUCUGAUGCUGGGAGGGAUUGGGGGCAGGAGGAGAAGAGGACGCAGAGGAUGAGAUGGCUGGAUGGCAUCACUGACUCGAUGGACUCUUCAUAGGGCUUCUCCACAUCACUAACCCCAAGGAGGCUGCCAAGGAAUUAGAGCCACUCCUCCCAAGACACGGCUUUCAACCACUGAAUUGUUGGCUUGGGGCUGCGGAAAUGGCCGUUUGCCAAAGGACACAUGUUACCACCACCAGGACAAUCUCGUCAGGCCGUGAGGACAGUGGGCCCACGGCUCCCACUGCGUCAAGCCCAUUACUUCUGGGACUUCCUGACAACGCGGCAGCCCAGUCAGCUCCCCUGUUAUGUACUUGCCGAAGGUCAAUCCACUUAUCCGUGCAGACCCCAGUGACUUCUCACAGAUUAGUAUUUAUGAGUCUGAUAUCCUGUCC